GUCAGGCAACCUUAAUAAGAGUUCUCACAGCCUCUGUGGGAGGUAGCUAAUUAAGAUGGGUGUUGGUUCUGGGAGAAUGUGGCCAGCAAGAUCACAGACACGAAACUGAUAUACUUUCCAGCCAGUUCCUCAGCACCAUUGUUCUGCUCUUGACUCAUGACUCGAUAUAGAAGAAGAACGAGGAAUUGAAAGAGAAAAUGGAGGACCGGGGUUCAAUUCCAGCACCCACGUGACAGCUCACAACUGUCGGCAACUCCAGUUCCCAAGGGAUCCAACUCCCUUGCACAGACAUGCAGGCAAAAUGCCAAUGCACGUAAAGUAAAAAUAAAUAAAUUUAAAAAAGAAAGCAUGGAUAGUCUUCAUUUAUUCAUAGUCCAGUCCUGCCCUCACACCUUGUAUUAUUUUGAGCCAGCCCAGCAUCAGGUACGUAUGUAUUGUAAAGAUGUACACCAGUGUCUGCGCCUGUGGUUUUGUGACAAACAGGAAUGAACCGGCCUCAAGUCACUGUUUCCACUCGAAUUUCUGGCAUGUUCACACUGCAGAGGAAGGAAUGCAGAACAGAACAUGCGUACUAGUAGACACAUUUAACAAAUGCUAGGCAGUGGUGGUGGACGCUUUUAAUCCCAGCACUCGGGAGGCCGAAGCAGGUGGAUCUCUGUGAGUUCGAGGCCAG
rnacentral:lncRNA from 1 species